GCGCACAGACACACACGCCGUUAACGCCUGAACAUCCACGCCACCCAGGACAGCGACAGCGGGGAGUACCACUGCCAGGCCACGCCCUGGUACCUGUCUGCCUCCACAGGGGCCUGGACACACGGGGCAGAACUCACCUCUACCAGGGUGUUCCUCACUGUACGAUUCCCCAUGUGGGACUCUCUGAAGCUGCCUCUGCUGUACGGUUCUGUAACCUCUGUGUCCGUGGGGCUCUUCUCUCUCCUCCUGGGUUUCAUCUGUGCCCACUGCUGCUGCCGCAACACCACACACACCCCCCGCUCAUGCAACAAACUCAUGGACCUGGAGAUGGAUUGACUAGCACAGGCCCGCUGGAGCGACCACCGCUUCUCCAGCUGAUGAACUACGAGCACGCGCACGUUACCSCGCCRGCACAUUACCACGGCAACGGCAGACAAUUGACCAAUCACAGCCCUUCGGGUGCGCUCCGUGGAGCUUUUAAGCGCACCAACGGGAGAGGAGGAGAGACAAUAGGACAUUUACUGUGGAGCUGUAGAGGGGAAAAACACUGAACAAACUGCUAAAGAAGAGUGCAGGAUAUCUAGUCUGCCUAUGUGAACGUAUUGAUGUUAGGUAUUGCACAAAACAGCCCUGGAGUAUUCCUACCUUAGUGGACUUUGUCUACGUUUGUCCUCAACACUAGUUUUUGAAAUUAGACUGUUUUUAAAGCUCUUAAAUGGAGAUGUGUGUGAGUGUAUACUAUAUUUGUGUGGUUUGCCACACCUGAGGCUGGGAAAGAGAGCCGCUUUACUCGUUUUGUCCUGCCCUGUUCCUGGUGUGAUGUCAUCCUGGUGUGAUGUCAUCCUGGUGUGAUGUCAUAUCCUGGUGUGAUGUCAUUUCAGUGACUCAACAGCAACUAGCCAUGUUCCCUGGCGCACGUUGAUGACCUCAGAGGCUCUCCUCUAGAGAGAGUGAAUGACACUAAGGACCCAGACCUCACCUGCUGUAACCCCCUACACUGACACUGGUGCUACCCCCACUGUGAAUGACAUUGAUGUUAUGUUGGGCCUAGGGUUUAUAUGGGGCAGGUUGAAGAGCAAGGUGGCCAUUGAGGGAGAAUGGACUAAUGGUUGUGACAGAGGUGAUAUGAUAUGAUAUGAUGAUAUGAUAUGGACUGACACAGUCAGAGGGAGAGAUCGUUUAUAUAGGUAGCAUACUGGAUUAAUGCGUGGAACCAGCUGGAACCUGCAGUCCUCCACACACUAUCCCAGCCAAUGCCUGGCUCUAGCUGAAGGAGUCCCAAAGUGGCUUCCUCGUCUCCUCUCCUUCAUCUGCACUGUUCAAUAAACACAGGAYGGAUCUAAGCAAUAUAAUGGUUGAAGCCUACCCGUUUCAUUCACAUCAGUGCAGAUGAAGUGAAGAAGACGGGACGAGGAAGCCAGAGCAUGGAGAUACACCCGUGGAAUGCAAUGGAGAAGGAUUAGAGAGAGAACUGUUAACAAACCCAUUCCUGAAAGGAACCUCCAUGUCACCUCCCAGUUUAGUAGGGCCCAGCAGUCCUUAGGGAGUCUUCUUCCCCUGUCUCUGGUACAGUACAAUAGCUGAGUGUCCAUAGAAAGGACUAUGCUGUGUUUGUAUGGGGCUGGGGCUCUCAGGGCUGUUGUGUUCCUGGGGUUAGUGGUUGGCCCAGCAGUAAUCUUCCCAGCGACAAAGACCAGCCCUACCCUCUACUAAUUACCCCAACCUAGACCCAAAAGGCCUUUUUAGAAUGGUCCUGUACCCGAUGUCAACUACCACCCCUGAAAUGCUACCCUGUCUAUACACACACUCCAUAUACUGCCAAUACUCAACAUGCUACCCUGUCUAUACACACACUCCAUAUACCACACUCAACAUACUGACAUGCACACCAACAGUUAAACACACACUGCUUGAUCGAGCACUCUUCUUCCACAAUGCCAUGUACCCCAACAUCUAAAAAUAAAAUCACACUCCUCGUGCACACACACAAACAACCCUACACACACACUGUCCUGUAUACACACUGCCAAUGUAACCCUGUGUGAAUGCACAUCUUGUGAGGCACCAGCUGUAUCUAGGUUCUGGCCAGGUACCAACUGGGUCUUUGGCUCUGGGAUCUGACUAGGUUUAACUCACUAGCGCCACCGACGGGAGAAGAGCUGCUGUGUGCCAAUCAAUAAACCAGGGCCCUGUUAAAAUGGUUAGAAAUUGCAUCCUUCCUAAUCUGACAUGACUGGAUUGGUGAAAGAUGUGUAGUGGAACCCUGGUUUACAGCUGCCAUACAUCUGUAUGAGAUCAGACAUGUACUUGAAGGAAAGAGUUGCAUUUUAUAGUAUUGGUAUCAUGUCUCGAGCUGUCCCACUGUGUGGGUGAAAGGUGUCCCUAAGCACUGACCCAAGGUCUGUUCUGUGUGCAACCUCGUAAUUAUUUAGUUCAGGUUUGGACUUGGGGAAGCUGAUCCGAGAUCUAUUCGAAGAACCUCCCUAAAGUCUAGAACCACAGACAGAUAGGACAACCGCCAACACAAAACACUGCACGUUCUUUUUAAAGAUCCUUACUGUCAUUUAAUUUUUUGUAAUUUGAAAUAGAUUUCUAAGUCUUUUUGUAAAUGAUUGUAAAGCCCAAUAUGGAUUUUUAUCUGACAUGAAUAUCUUAUUCUGUGCCGAUGUUUCUCUGGGUGACGAUCAAUCAGGGUUUUUUAUGAUUCGCCUCUGCUUCCAGGCCUCUGAAAAACUUCAAAUAUUUCUGCCAGAAUAAAUGUUUUAUAACAGUA